rfam:Zootermopsis nevadensis contig3701, whole genome shotgun sequence.
GCCACGGUGGUCUAGCGGUUAGAAUGCUGGCCUUGUAAUCCUGGGGUCUCGGGUUCGAUUCCCGGCGGUGCCC